rnacentral:lncRNA from 1 species
AUAUGCUGCUAUUCCAGCUUUUCUUCUAGAGGAAUCUCUGAUCCGGCCCAAUACCUUGCUGCUUCUAGCAUGUGUAGAACGCUUACAUGUCAUGUAAGACAGUGCCACUAUUUUAAACUUUACAUGCUUCUUUCUUCCUCCUAAACAAGUUUAGUCAAUGUUUUCUUCCUAGAGCUGGAACAUCUAAUACAAAUUAUAAAGGGAAAGAUCCUGCAAACCUUUUGGUGAAUGAUGGCAGCAUUCCAGUACCGACACCCCAGAAAGUUUUCCAGAACCCAUCAAGUUCAUUUGGGCUACUGUGGAAGAAAUCUUUCUCUUUGUCCUGCUUUUCAGGAGAAAAUGCUUCAGGAUUCAUUGGCUCAGACAAGAAAAUUGAUGGAUAAUGUGUUACUUGUGAUCUUUGUUUUUCUUGAUGCUUGA